AGAGAGAGAGAGAGAGAGAGAGAGGAGAGAGGGAUCGACGACUCUCGCGCGAUACUUUCGCGACUCGGCGCAGCCCGACUAAGUAUCUGCCGCGAAGAGUAAGCGCAGCAGCAGCAGCAGCAGCUCGAGCGAACGUAGCGGUGGCGCUGCCAGGCUAUGACGAGAGAGAUGCUCUAUCUCUUUUCCUCUCGCUCUCGCGCUUCCGUGGGAGUAUAGUGAGAGCGCAGGGGCUCCCGCUAAGUGAAGAGUCGACGAUGUAUAUAUAUACCUAUGUAUAGAUACAUACAACACAUGUCGGAGAGGGACAGCUGGGAUGUGCGCAUAUGUUUCGGCGGUAAUAUAAUGGCCGGACUGCUGAUGCUGCUGUUGGGGGCGUUUAUACGUCCCCGUUUAUACUUUUUAGAGUUUUUGUACACCAGUAGUUUUUUACGCAGUGCAGCGUAACUGUUUUUGAAUUUAUAGCGACGAACUUUUAUUAGCUUUUUAUUAGUUUCUUGCUCGAUCAGAACAUGAUCAAUUAUUUAUACACAUAAACGUAUUUUAGUAAUUUAAAUUAAUUAAUGAUUAAUUUUAGCAACUGCGUGAUUACAGUAAUUUUCAUUUUUCAAUAAAACAUACAACAUCGAUUUAAAAACAGCCAAGGAGUAUAAUAACGUUUGCAAGUAUAAAGCGAAUCGAGUUGCUCCUCGGCAUGUCAU